AUUGUGAUGCUUUUAUUUUUGCUAAAUCUAAGACUAUUAUUCUCCUUUGUAUUAGAAUCUUAAGAAUGCUAUGGAUAUAGAUAGACUGGAAAAGAAGAUUGAGGAAUUAUCUGCAAAUGAGACACAGCAUCAAAUGAAGUUACACAUGUACGAGAAUACAUUGCUUAAUAAAGAGGCAAGUACACAAGAGGUUGGUACUGUCCUUUCCUUUUUGGAACCCCGUGGGAUUGGCUAGCUC
rnacentral:lncRNA from 1 species